UGCCUAGUGGUGCAGUGGUAGCACGCCUGUCUCUGGAUCAGGUAACCGAGGUUCGAAUCCUUGCUAGGCAGCCA
rnacentral:tRNA from 1 species